UACAGAGGGGGCAAGCGUUGUUCGGAAUUACUGGGCGUAAAGGGCGCGUAGGCGGCCUGUUAAGUCGAACGUGAAAUCCCUGGGCUCAACCCAGGAACUGCGUCCGAUACUGGCAGGCUUGAAUUCGGGAGAGGGAUGCGGAAUUCCAGGUGUAGCGGUGAAAUGCGUAGAUAUCGUGAGGAACACCAGAGGCGAAGGCGGCUACCUGGACAAUUGCUGACGCUCAGGCACGAAAGCGUGGGGAGCAAAAGGG
rnacentral:rRNA from 1 species